rnacentral:rRNA from 1 species
AGCAGCCGCGGUAAUUCCAGCUCCAAUAGCGUAUAUUAAAGUUGUUGCAGUUAAAAAAGCUCGUAGUUGAAUUUCGGGAUCAAUUUGCUGGUCGUGCCUUUGGUACGCACUGGUAUUAUUGGUUUCUCCUUUCUGAUGAAUCGCGAUGUCAUUAAUUUGGUGUCGUGGGGAAUCAGGACCGUUACUUUGGAAAAAUUAGAGUGUUUAAAGCAGGCUCACGCUUGAAUACAUUAGCAUGGAAUAAUGAAAUAGGACGUUUGAUUCUAUUUUGUUGGUUUCUAGGAUCGACGUAAUGAUUAAUAGGGAUAGUUGGGGGCAUUAGUAUUCAAUUGUCAGAGGUGAAAUUCUUGGAUUUAUUGAAGACUAACUACUGCGAAAGCAUUUGCCAAGGAUGUUUUCAUUAAUCAAGAACGAAAGUUAGGGGAUCGAAGACGAUCAGAUACCGUCGUA